UACAGAGACUGCAAGCGUUAUUCGGAUUCACUGGGCGUAAAGGGUGCGCAGGCGGUUGGGUUUGUCAGAUGUGAAAUCCCGAGGCUCAACCUCGGAACUGCGUCUGAAACUACUCGACUAGAGUACUGGAGAGGGUAACGGAAUUCACGGUGUAGCAGUGAAAUGCGUAGAUAUCGUGAGGAACACCAGAGGCGAAGGCGGUUACCUGGACAGUUACUGACGCUCAGGCACGAAAGCAUGGGGAGCAAAAGGG
rnacentral:rRNA from 1 species